rnacentral:misc_RNA from 1 species
GAGACGUUGCCCUUCGGGGUAUACCUCCCACCCUUUGUUUAUUAUACCUUUGUUGCUUUGGCGGGCCCGUCCUCGGACCACCGGCUUCGGCUGGUCAGCGCCCGCCAGAGGACCUAAAACUCUGUUUGUUCAUAUUGUCUGAGUACUAUAUAAUAGUUAAAACUUUCAACAACGGAUCUCUUGGUUCU